GACGAACGCUGGCGGCGUGCUUAACACAUGCAAGUCGAACGGAAAGGCCCCUUUGGGGGUACUCGAGUGGCUAACGGGUGAGUAACACGUGAGUAACCUGCCCUUGACUUCGGGAUAACUUCAGGAAACUGGGGCUAAUACCGGAUAGGAAUCCUUGCUGCAUGGUGGGGGUUGGAAAGCUUCGGCGGUUUUGGAUGGACUCGCGGCUUAUCAGCUUGUUGGUGGGGUAGUGGCUUACCAAGGCUUUGACGGGUAGCCGGCCUGAGAGGGCGACCGGCCACAUUGGGACUGAGAUACGGCCCAGACUCCUACGGGAGGCAGCAGUGGGGAAUAUUGCACAAUGGGCGGAAGCCUGAUGCAGCAACGCCGCGUGCGGGAUGACGGCCUUCGGGUUGUAAACCGCUUUCAGCAGGGGCGAAGCUUGUGGUGACGGUACCUGCAGAAGAAGCACCGGCUAACUACGUG
rnacentral:rRNA from 1 species